UGGCUCUGGCAUCGAUGAAGAACGCAGCGAAAUGCGAUAAGUAAUGUGAAUUGCAGAAUUCAGUGAAUCAUCGAAUCUUUGAACGCACAUUGCGCCCCCUGGUAUUCCGGGGGGCACGCCUGUCCGAGCGCCGUUUUCACCCCUCAAGCAAUGCUUGUUGUUGGGGCCCCGCCCGCCACCCGGCAGGCGCGCCCUCGAAUGCAUCGGCGCGGCCGCAGGCCUCCCCAGACACCGCGUUGUCAGAGGGUUGCCAGCGGACCGCCGCCUUGAAAACGUACCGCAAAAUUUGGCCUCGGAUCAGGCGGGGAUACCCGCUGA
rnacentral:misc_RNA from 1 species